rnacentral:lncRNA from 1 species
AUUUUGGGGCUUACAUCACAUCAAACUUCAACGAUCUGAACCAUAUAUUUUUCAAGUUGGAACUCAUAGAUCAUUUAAUUGAGUUCAAAGAAAAUUGACGAACACUUUGUUAUAUGAAAAUUGACAAACACUUUGUUCUAUAAAAGAAACAAUAAAUUUCAUCAUGAUAAUUAAAUAGGUAAAUAGUUUCGAAUUAAAUUAAAUUUUUGCAAGCUGAUCUAUGGAUCGAGACUUACAAAAUAGAUAGUUUGGAUACUUGAAAU